AAAAAAGCAGGGGUUUGGCAGUUGUGUUGACUGACCUCUCGUAAACUUCAGGGAUAUAAUAGUCUCCAUUGUUAUUGGGUGAACCUAUGUUUUUUUUUGUUGUGACUAAAGGUUCAGUAAAUGAUGGAACAUAU